GACGUAGGGCGCGAGCGUUGUCCGGAUUUAUUGGGCGUAAAGAGCUCGUAGGCGGCUUGUCGCGUCGACUGUGAAAACCCGCGGCUUAACUGCGGGACUGCAGUCGAUACGGGCAGGCUAGAGUUCGGUAGGGGAGACUGGAAUUCCUGGUGUAGCGGUGAAAUGCGCAGAUAUCAGGAGGAACACCGGUGGCGAAGGCGGUUCUCUGGGCCUUACCUGACGCUGAGGAGCGAAAGCGUGGGGAGCGAACAGG
rnacentral:rRNA from 1 species